rnacentral:rRNA from 1 species
UACGUGGGUGGCAAGCGUUAUCCGGAAUUAUUGGGCGUAAAGCGCGCGCAGGCGGUUUCUUAAGUCUGAUGUGAAAGCCCACGGCUCAACCGUGGAGGGUCAUUGGAAACUGGGAAACUUGAGUGCAGAAGAGAAAAGCGGAAUUCCACGUGUAGCGGUGAAAUGCGUAGAGAUGUGGAGGAACACCAGUGGCGAAGGCGGCUUUUUGGUCUGUAACUGACGCUGAGGCGCGAAAGCGUGGGGAGCAAACAGG